AGCGAACGCUGGCGGCAGGCCUAACACAUGCAAGUCGAACGAACCUUUCGGGGUUAGUGGCGGACGGGUGAGUAACACGUGGGAACGUGCCUUUAGGUUCGGAAUAACUCAGGGAAACUUGUGCUAAUACCGAAUGUGCCCUUCGGGGGAAAGAUUAAUCGCCUUUAGAGCGGCCCGCGUCUGAUUAGCUAGUUGGUUGAGGUAAUGGCUCACCAAGGCGACGAUCAGUAGCUGGUCUGAGAGGAUGAUCAGCCACAUUGGGACUGAGACACGGCCCAAACUCCUACGGGAGGCAGCAGUGGGGAAUCUUGCGCAAUGGGCGAAAGCCUGACGCAGCCAGGCCGCGUGAAUGAUGAAGGUCUUAGGAUUGUAAAAUUCUUUAACCGGGGACGAUAAUGACGGUACCCGGAGAAGAAGCCCCGGCUAACUUCGUG
rnacentral:rRNA from 1 species